AGCAGUUUAGUUUAAUGGUAAAACACUUAACGCGUAAUCACAGAUAUAUGAGUUCGAGUCUCAUUGCUG
rnacentral:tRNA from 1 species